UGCCGAGAUCUAUAGAGCGCACUUACACUUUGCUCAGACUAAACUUUCGAGUUAAGUCAUAUUUGGUAUUUAUAGAGCAAACUACGAAUCUCUCGGAGUGUUGGCUUAGCUUAAUCUCAAGUCGACGAAAUCGACGACUUACCAAAAUCUUUGACUAUAAGCCUAACAAAAACAAUGGCCCAAAAUUUACUUUGCCAUCAUAUCUUUUACUUGACUUUUUAUUUUGUCGUAUCUGCCCUAUAGCAGUGACAUAUGUUGACAACAAAAUUCAAAAUAACUUCAACACUCGCUUCAAAUCUGUUAUUUUCGUUUGCCUAAAAAUAUAAAUAUCUUAGAUAUUUAAUCUUCUACCUCUUAUUACCUGACGACCCUGCUUGCUCAACGGAUUUUGUACCUGCUUAAACGACUGACCACGGCUAUUCUCACUCGGACCGGACUCGCGCACAAAAAAAUGCAGAACAGAAAAUGGGCAAAACCGAAACCCUACUCGGAAUUUGAGAGGCAACUGCUCGUACAGUUGGUGCAGUAAUUUAAUAACUGUAACGUGUCACAUACUCUGGUACUGAUCAUGACAAUAAUAAUGAAAGCUGGAGACCAAAGAGGGCAAGAGCGUCCACUAUAGAUGCCACAUUUAAAUAUGUAAAUCAGCCGGGAACAAGCCACAACUGGACUGAACAAGCUGGGUUGACGGAAAACAGUGUUGAAGUCACCACUAAAAGUGAAUCAGCAAGCAGAAAAAUUAAACCUUCAUUUGAGGACCUUAAAAAAACUUGCUGUGGCAAGAGUUGGACAACAACAAAAGAAGAUAUGAGAUAGAAA